rnacentral:rRNA from 1 species
GCUCUCCUGGGUGACGAGCGGCGGACGGGUGAGUAAUGUCUGGGAAACUGCCUGAUGGAGGGGGAUAACUACUGGAAACGGUAGCUAAUACCGCAUAACGUCGCAAGACCAAAGAGGGGGACCUUCGGGCCUCUUGCCAUCAGAUGUGCCCAGAUGGGAUUAGCUAGUAGGUGGGGUAAUGGCUCACCUAGGCGACGAUCCCUAGCUGGUCUGAGAGGAUGACCAGCCACACUGGAACUGAGACACGGUCCAGACUCCUACGGGAGGCAGCAGUGGGGAAUAUUGCACAAUGGGCGCAAGCCUGAUGCAGCCAUGCCGCGUGUGUGAAGAAGGCCUUCGGGUUGUAAAGCACUUUCAGCGAGGAGGAAGGUGGUGAGCUUAAUACGCUCAUCAAUUGACGUU